rnacentral:lncRNA from 1 species
CUUGGGACCUGUCUCUCCUGGAAUAACAAUCUGCAUUACUGGCUGGCUGUCCAACCACUAUUUUAAGUGCUUCAAAGCUCUUCACCAUCCAGGACUGCUGGAAGAGAACCAAGGCCCCUUCCAUCCAGCCCCACGUCUGAAACCGCCUCAGUGUCUCUGAUCCAGCCAUCAGUGGGUGCAGGCACAGCAGCAGGCCUUGGAACCCACACUGCACUCAGACAGCCAACCUCCAGAGACAGCGUUCUGGAGCCCUGGUGUGUCCCUGUCCCUCUAGGGGUGCAGAGGCCUGGAGACCAGAGACAGCAAAUCCCCCGGGGGUCCUGGUCCCGAGUACCCGCCCAUGCUUCUCUGCUCUGCAGGUGGGUCCCCUCUCUGGCUUGACAACCUCUCC